UGGGGAAUAUUGGACAAUGGGCGCAAGCCUGAUCCAGCAAUGCCGCGUGUGUGAAGAAGGCCUUCGGGUUGUAAAGCACUUUUGUUCGGGAAGAAAUCCGUGAGGUUAAUACCCUUACGGGAUGACGGUACCGAAAGAAUAAGCACCGGCUAACUUCGUGCCAGCAGCCGCGGUAAUACGAAGGGUGCAAGCGUUAAUCGGAAUUACUGGGCGUAAAGCGUGCGUAGGCGGUUUGUUAAGUCAGAUGUGAAAGCCCCGGGCUCAACCUGGGAACUGCAUUUGAUACUGGCAGGCUAGAGUGCGGUAGAGGGUGGUGGAAUUCCCGGUGUAGCGGUGAAAUGCGUAGAGAUCGGGAGGAACAUCCGUGGCGAAGGCGGCCACCUGGACCAGCACUGACGCU
rnacentral:rRNA from 1 species